CCCCUCUCAGGGUCACACCUGGAGAGUUUCCAGUACUCUACCAGUCUUGAUUACGGGAGAUUCAACCAGAGGCACAUCCAUUCCAUUCCUAGCUUGGGCAGUGGCUAGCGAGUGGAAGGUAAUCUGCUACAAGU